rnacentral:lncRNA from 1 species
GCCAAGGUGGGUGGAUCCCCUGAGGUUCAGGGCUCAAGACCAGCCUGGCCAACAUGGUGAAAACCCAUCUCUACUAAAAAUACAAAAAAUCAGCUGGGCAUGGUAGCAGUUGCCUGUAAUUCCAGCUACUCAGGAGACUGAAGCAGGAGAAUCACUUGAACCCAGGAGGUGGAGGUUUCAGUGAGCUGAGAUCGCACCACUGCACUUCAGCCUGGGCAACAGGGCAAGACUGUCUCAAAAAAAAGAGUCACCAGAGAGCUUGCUCCUCCCUGCCUUUGGGAACUGCCCCCACAGUCAUUGACGCAGUCACUCAGGAGAUCACCUUCCCAAUUGCAUUUUAGAAGGAAGUGGCAGAUUCAUGAUGCAGAAGGGAGGAGAGAAGGCAGGAGGUGAAGGAGAUGGCACAGGCAGAGGUACAGAGUGGUGACUGAAACCACACGCCAUGUUGGGAGACUUCCAAACAAGUCUAGAGAGUUGGCACUUAGGGAUGAAGAAAUCAUCUUCUGAAGUAACCUGGCCAGGCGCAGUGGCAUACACCUGUAAUUCCAACACAGUGGGAGGAUCUCUUGAUGCCAAGAGUGCAAGACCAGCCUGGGCAACAUAGUCAGUGGCCCGGACAAUGCUUUUGAUGAACAGAUGAUGAGUGACAAUGCAAGAUGAACUGUGACAAGGAUCCCGUGGGUUGUCAAAUGAGUUAAGAGGAAGGAAAAAUUCCUUUGGGUUGCCGAGGCCAAGACAAGCUUCAUUUCAAGCUUAGUCUUGAAGAUGAGUGGGAUUAAGAUAAAAAAUAAAGAAUGGAAAUGAGCAUGAACAAAAACGUGAUGGUGAAAGCAUAUUUGCUAUUUUCAAAAGCCAGGAGCAGUGCUAUCAGUGACAGGCAAACAGGCCUGGAAAAGAAGGUACCAAGACAAGGAUAUCUUCAAAAUACAGGCUUGAGCACUUAAUCUAAAGCCAGAAAAAAACAUUGGCUUCAACUGUCCAUCAAACUCUAUUAAAUAUAAGAAAGUUUCCUAAAUAUAUCAUUUUUCCCUGUUAGAAUUCAUUGUCUCUACUGAUUUCAAAAUCAGCAAAUAUUUAUUGUAAAAAAGAAAGAAAAAAUACUUGUUAAAAUCUAUUUCUAUAAAAACUACUGCUACUGGUUUCUCCCUAAAUGCUCGGCAGUGAGCAAAGAAAGAUACUGUUAACAUUUAGUAGCUGCUGCGGUCACCUUGGCAUAAUCGAGUGAACACAGACUUUAAUGGCAGUUUAAUUAGAUUUACCACGGGGAAGAUGUCACACAGGAGAUGCGAUGCUUCUGUAUUUAGAAACCUAUAUGAUGACAUGAAUAAAUAAAAAAUGAACAGAAA